rnacentral:rRNA from 1 species
GAUGAACGCUGGCGGCGUGCCUAAUACAUGCAUGUCGAGCGAACGGACGAGAAGCUUGCUUCUCUGAUGUUAGCGGCGGACGGGUGAGUAACACGUGGAUAACCUACCUAUAAGACUGGGAUAACUUCGGGAAACCGGAGCUAAUACCGGAUAAUAUUUUGAACCGCAUGGUUCAAAAGUGAAAGACGGUCUUGCUGUCACUUAUAGAUGGAUCCGCGCUGCAUUAGCUAGUUGGUAAGGUAACGGCUUACCAAGGCAACGAUGCAUAGCCGACCUGAGAGGGUGAUCGGCCACACUGGAACUGAGACACGGUCCAGACUCCUACGGGAGGCAGCAGUAGGGAAUCUUCCGCAAUGGGCGAAAGCCUGACGGAGCAACGCCGCGUGAGUGAUGAAGGUCUUCGGAUCGUAAAACUCUGUUAUUAGGGAAGAACAUAUGUGUAAGUAACUGUGCACAUCUUGACGGUACCUAAUCAGAAAGCCACGGCUAACUACGUG